UUCACCAUGUUAGCCAGGAUGGUCUCGAUCUCCUGACCUUCCGAUCCGCCCGUCUCGGCCUCCCAAAGUGCUGGGAUUACAGGCUUGAGCUACCGCACCCGGCCUGGAGCACUUUUUUUUAAGCACCCCCAUCACAUGCAGUCGGUCAGAGACUCAGGGACGCGCCGGUAGAACCCCGUCUCCAUUUUGCUCAUGGACAGGCACACGUGUUCACGCGCACCCCACCCCUCCUCCCGGUCCAGCCUCACCUCCUCCCUGCACAUCUGACCCUGUGUGGGGUGAGGUCAGGGAAUAGAUGAGGAUAGGAGCAGGUGGGGAAUGAAUGGAGCUUUGAUAGGUCCUGAGCUUCCCCCAACUGCCACAUACUUUCUCAGGCCCACCCUGGGAGCCCCUCCCCAGCUGAGGAGGUAGGUGAGAGCCGCUGCUGUCUGUGGGCUGCCAGCCCGCUGUGUUCUUCUGCAACCAGGAGGGCCGACAUGGGCUGUGUGUGUGCUAGGGGGUGUCACGAGUUCACUCAGUAAACCCUCCCCUAUGGGGUGCCAACCCUCUGCCUCUCACUCCUGAUGGAUGGCUCACGCUGCCACCUGGGACAAACCGCUCUGUGUGGGACCAGUGGUUGCAUUUCUCUCUGGGGCCUGGGAUGCCUGGGGUCCGUGGGUUCCCGCCGACCACUGGGCACGGACAAGCUGCCCCCACCAGGCAGGGAGCAGCCAGAGAGAAUGAAGGGCAAGGAGGCUGCUGAGGCAGAGGGAGUCGGCGAGGGAUGCAGGACAUCGGUGGACUCGGCCCCUGAUCUUGCAGGUGACCCCAGGCCAGGUGCAGCCCCUCUCUGGCCUCAGUUUCCCCCUCAGUGAAUGGCGCCCUCGAAACCCCUCCCAGCUCUGACAUGGGAGUUACUCUUUCCUGGAACCCUUCCCUAGCCCCCUUUCUUCCUUCAGACAUUUCUGCAGCAAGUGCUUAUUGAACACCGACGGCAUACCAAGGACCCAGCGCAGCCUGGGACGGCCGGCGCUUCAGUGAUGCGGUGCCUUCUGUGAUUGACAUCUGCAGCAAGCGCUGCCGGCCGGGGUCCCAGGAGCUCCCCAGCCAAGGGCCGCGGGGACCCCAGGCUGUGCCUGAGACCAGGGAGAAACACGCAUGAGGCUGUCCCACAGUCCCCACCACCAGGAGCACGCCAUUCCUAGUGGGCGAGAGGACCCCAGCAUGAUUUGAAAAUGACGACAUUGUUUCCAGUAAGAACCACGUAACAAUAACAAUCGGCAAUAAACCGUCUCCAGAUUUGCGCUUUAGCUUUAAAGCCAA